GUCUACGGCCUCGCCACCUUGAACGCGCCCGAUCUCUUCUGAUCUCUGGAGCUAAGCAGGGUCGGGCCUGGUUAGUACUUAGAUGGGAGACCACCUAGGAAGACCAGGUGCUGAAGGCG
rnacentral:rRNA from 1 species